AUUGAACGCUGGCGGCAGGCCUAACACAUGCAAGUCGAGCGGAGCGGCGGACGGGUGGGUAAUGCCUAGGAAUCUGCCUGGUAGUGGGGGAUAACGUCCGGAAACGGGCGGUAAUAAAGCAUACUAUCAAAUGAGCCUAGGUCGGAUUAGCUAGUUUGUGAGGUAGAGGCCUACCAAGGCGACGAUCCGUAGCUGGUCUGAGAGGAUGAUCAGUCACACUGGAACUGAGACACGGCCCAGACUCCUACGGGAGGCAGCAGUGGGGAAUAUUGGACAAUGGGCGCAAGCCUGAUGCAGCCAUGCCGCGUGUAUGAAGAAGGUCUUAGGAUUGUAAAGCACUUUAAGUCGGGAGGCGUUACCAACAGAAUAAGCACCGGCUAACUCCGUGCCAGCCGCCGCGGUAAUUC
rnacentral:rRNA from 1 species